rnacentral:lncRNA from 1 species
AUUUCAUUUAUUACCUUAAAUAAACCAAACUAUUUUAGUCUUCUACUGCAGGAUAGCCUUUCUGUUUGCCUAAUCAUCCUAAUGUCACCUUUAUGUUCAUUUUUGCAGAUAUUACACUUCCAGUUUAAACUGUCCAGAUGUAUACUGUUUAAAAUAUGCAUGCUUCUCUUAUUCAUCUGAGCACUCCAGCUGUGAAAAUCCAGGCACAUGUUAUCAGUGAGGUUUUGGUAGAGCCAAGAAGCAGAAGAUUCAGUCUGCAGAUGUGCCUCUGCAGCGUGCUGCUGUGUGCCUGCCUGCUUCCCAGCUGGUCGCCAGCACCCUGUGGCCUCACCAGCACCCAGCCUGGGCUGAAACAAGGGAAUUGGUGCAUCUGAAACCUGACCACCACCUAAGCUUCAGUGACCUGUCAGCCUGCUGAGAAGCACAUUUCAGUUGUGUGGGAUAACCCUGUUUUAGCUGAGACUGUCAAAAAUACCAGUGCAUGUCUUUAGAAAAGAUAGAGCAGCAAGAAACAUGCAUUUAGGGGAAAAAAAAAGUAUUUUGGUCACUUAUUCUCUCUUGUUUUAGUGUUGCAUUUUGAAUCCUAUUUGUGUGUACGUUUUUGUCUACACAGAAAUACUUUCCUUGGGGAAGAAUAUUAAAAAAGUAUAAAGGGAAAAGAGAGUCUUCUCUUUCUUUUGCCUCCUCCCC